rnacentral:rRNA from 1 species
UACGAGGGGGGCAAAUGUUGUUCGGAAUCACUGGGCGUAAAGGGAGCGUAGGCGGGAUGGCAAGUCGGUCGUGAAAGCCUUCGGCUCAACCGAAGAACGUCGGCCGAUACUGCCGUUCUUGAGGGAUGCAGAGGAGACUGGAAUUCCCGGUGUAGCGGUGAAAUGCGCAGAUAUCAGGAAGAACACCCGUGGCGAAAGCGGCUCUCUGGAACGGUACUGACGCUGAGACGCGAAAGCGUGGGGAGCGAACAGG